ensembl:lncRNA
GCAAGGGAGGGCGGGCAUAAUGGUUGGGGUUGGCACAGUGGCGGAAAGAACGAUCCGGUCUCUGGCUGUUUUCUUCCUGGAGGGGCGGAGAUCAGGGAGGGGAAGAAAGGCGCAGGAGUGGGGGUAGUGGAGUCUAGUUCCUGCCUCCCGACAUCCUCUUACCAGCGUGCCAGGGCAUGGGGGAGCCCAGCAUUGCCUCAGGAAAAGCUGGGAAGUCAGAAGGUGUGGUCACAGAGCAGGAAGCUCCUCCCAGGUCCUCGCCAUUCCUGGGUCAAGGUUUUCUGUGCCCUGGACCCAGGUAGAGGUGACAGAGGGAAAUCUGAAGUACCGGUUCUUGCUGAAAGGAUGAAGAAGCAUCUCCAGUUGCCCUUAAGACAUUUUUGAAAUGUACACAUCUGGGACUAAGGAAUGCAGCUGAGAGAUGAAGCCUUGCCUAGCACAUGCAAAGCCCUGAGUCUGGAUAUCCAGCACUGAAAGGAAAAGGGGUUGAAGAAGAGCCCAGUGAACCAUGUAGGCGAAGGAGGAAAACAAGGGGCAUGGAUUUUUAUAAUAGAAAAGGCCUCUUUCUAGACCUAGAAGUUAUCAUCUGUUUUUACCCAAGUGUGCUGAAACUUGGCUGUCCCAUGGCCUAGAGGGUUUUGACAUAUUUACCUAGAGAGCACUACCCAGCCUCUGGCUGAGGGUAGAACCUGGGGCCUGGAGCAUGCUAAGCAGUGCUCUAUCUCUGAGCUACAUCCCUAGCUCCCUUUCUAUUUUUACACUGGCUCCUGAGAAGUUGUCCAGCCAGGCCUUGAACUCAUCCUGUAGCCCAAAUAGGUUUCGACCCUGUGGUCUUUCUGCCUCAUUUUCCACAGUGGCUAUGGAUUGAUCAGGCCUGGUUCUUAGCACUUUCUGUCUCAGUGCUGGGAAUCUGAAGAUGAAAAUAAGCCAGAAUGGGUCCAGCCCAGAAUGGAACCGCUUCCAUUUUCUCCUAGGUGUCCUAGUUUCCUGAUGCAGUUAGCCCCCAAAGCCUUAAGAGGCAGCAGUGCUUGUUCAAGACUCCCUGCAGCAGCAUGCCUGACUCCGAGGCAAUCUGUUUCUUCUCUUGAGCUCUGGCUUCUCACCUGUCAAAUGUCCAUCUUAAAUCACACUCUUCCUGCAGAGCCUCCUUGUAAGAUCCCUUCUGUGAUGCAGGGCUGUAAAAGAGGCCAGUCCUGACCCCGAUCUCUUGCAGCACUGAACCCUUCCAGGAGCAAGAGGAAAGCCAAGCCUAAUGCUACAUACACCCUGUCCACACUCUUUGUCUGGUCCUUGGAAGGUUUCCUCUGGGUGACCAGCCUAGCACCUCUGUGUUGGAGUGACAAUCUAAGCAGUAACUGUCUCUCAGCCCUGGAGUCAGAGCAAGACAAUAGCAUAGUUGGGUCCUUCCUUCUGGGCUCUCCUAGGGAGAUGAUUUCCCCUCCCGGAUUCCUGGUGUGUGUGUGUGUGUGUGUGUGUGUGUGUGUGUGUGUGUGUUGGGGAAUGACUAUGAAGACUCAAAGCUGUUAGAGAUUUAUUUGGUGCCUUUACUUUUUUUGUUGUUGUUUUGGCCAAUUUGGAAAGAAAGAGGCAAUGACUCCUCUUUAUAAAACAAAACUAGGCAGGAAGUGUGCAGGGCCUGAGUGGCAGGGACUAAGGGUGUAAUUACAAGUUUUGUUCAGCAUUUUCAUGUAAUUAAGUCCAAAGGAAAUCGAGCUGCCUGUAUGUUGGGGCUGGAAGGCAAUCGGUGAGGAAUGGAUCUGCUUUUCAGCGAAGAGGCGGACUUCUCACCUUUCUUCUUAUUUUUAUAUUCGUUUUCCAAAAGGUAGCCUAUCAUUCAUCUUUUAUUCGGUGCCAUUGCGCUCUCCUUGGUGACAUUUCCCAGCCGUGCAAAGCCUUCUAGACACUGAUUUGCCUUUCCGCCCACUCUCUCCCCCUUCCCACUUUUACAUAUUGCCGAUUUCUGCCUGGUUGCUCACACAGUAUUCCCGCUGCAACAUUCAUAGCCAGCUUUCUUGCCUCCGGAGUUUCGAUCUCAGCGACUUCCGACUCCGCCAAGCCAAAUAGUCUCUCCUUUUGUUUUGGCCAGAGUCUGGUUUUCCCCGUUAUGCUUUAUAGUAAGUUCUACAGCGGCUGCCCCACCUCGGCUUUCUUUAACACUGCCUUGGUUUCCCUUUAUCGCAAGUAGAUUCUGCGCACACUCGCUGGGGGAUGGGGUCGUAGCGCCUAGAGCACGGCUUUGCAGAUGGUCCUAAACGGUGGGGCGCACGGGUUUCGUUCUCCUCCCCUCCUUUGAGCCUUCGGUGGCCCAGAGACGUGCCCUGGGCAUUGGGGACUGGCAGCAAGAAAGGAACCACUGUCUACUUACAUUCUUAAGGGCAGGAAACCUGACCCACCCCUAAACCACUGGUCCCGGAGGAGGGGCACUUGCAUUCCUCCAGGAGGGUGGGCCUCGCGUUGGUCCCCCCUCCUCUCACUCCUACCCCCACCUCCGUGCCCGCAGAUUACCUCCCUCAGCCCCCUUCACCUACUCUUCCCAAGAACAGAUUGUUUAUCAGGACGGGCAGCCAAGAAGCCUACUCCUGUUUCUGGCCUCUGCCAAAGAUUAAUCACACUUGGGAACCUCACCAAACUUGACUGUUAGGGCGGGGCAGGGAGAGGGGGAGUAGUUAAAAAGGAAAGACCAAUGAAUUUGACAUUUGACAAGCUGACCAAAUGGGGCUACUGACGCCUCUUUCCUUCUCAACCUAAAGGACCGAAUUGUGUUUCAUUCCCACUCCGCUACCCCACCCCCUCUCUUUCUCUGAGUCCCCCUCUUUCAACUUCGGAUUUGAUGCUUUCAUAGUACUGACUUGCUUUUAAUUCUUAGUAACAUUUUCAGCUGGUGUGUGUGUGUGUGUGUGUGUGUGUGUGUGUGUGUGUGUGUGUGUGUGUUGGGGCCUGGCAAGACACACUCACAAACUGGACUGCCUGACAAAUCCCUUCUUUCCCUUCUUUUCAUCCCUCUCUUUGAAAUGACAUCAAGAUGGACUGGGGAGGGGUGAUGGGGGGGCGAUAAAGGAGAAGGCAUGGAAAAAAGAGGGGGGAUAAUUUAUGUGCUUUUUUCAGACGGCUAGUAAAAUUCCUAAGGGAGAACGAAUGCCAAAAUUGACUGUCUUGGUGGAUUUAGACCCAAUCGUCAGGGUGAAUCAUGUCAGGGCUUUGCCCUGGACCUGCAGCCUGGAAGAGGGGACAGGCACAGAAGCAUCUCUGUGGCUGGGAGGGGCCCUUCUGAACGGGGAAGGGAUGGCUGUUUGCUCUCACCAGAUCCUCUCCAUCGGAUUUGCUUUUCUGUAAUUCAUUGCAAGAUGGAUUUUUUAAAAGCUCUGAUAAAGAAAAGGAAGGGAUAGAAAACUCACUAUUAAACAUGACCCCCUAAGGGAAGGUGCAAACCCAUUUGAUCCAAGAUAGAGAUAUCUCCACCCCAGGCUUCCCCUCCCCUUUGCUUUGCAACUCAGCAGACAUCAGGUUAGCAAAAGGUAAUAAAUAGUCCUCGCACAGCAGGGUCUGGACUAGUGAAAACAGUUUACUGAAAUUAAUGGGCCUCACUUGAACCAAAACCUCCACUUUGGAAUUAAUGCCAGACAUAGUUUUCCUGAACUCUAUCCAACCGCCUAAGCGGCAGACAAUUUUUGUUCUAUUUGUGAAGGAAAUAAAGCCCAAGCCCUUGAUCUCAGUGUAGAUUUUCAUGUAAAGAAAAAAAAAUUAGCACAGUGAAAAUGGUGCCAGUUUCCACUUUCUGCCAGUAGAAGCCCGGGUGCUCUGGGUGCUCUUAGGUGGUGUGCAUGGUCAAAAGUUAUCUGGUAAACUUUGCAUUGAAAACCCGCCUCCCAAUUCCCUCCCCACCUCUGGCUUCUGAGCUUUAAUGGUGACAUCUGAGAGAUGGAAGAAAGCUCCAGAAACAGUUGAAAGGCACAUACACUAUGUGUUCCCAUUCAGCGGUUAUGGGGUUAUGGCAGGUACAACGGCUGCACCGCUGUCCGUGUCUGAACCCACCCUAAACCCCCAUUAUUGAGAAAAGCCUGAUCGUGGGCAGCCGGUGUUCUGGUUCUCAUUGUACAGUCUGCACUGGUGACACAGGACAUGUGGAAAAUUUUGAGAGCACUGCGGUGAAUGGUGUGGAG